rnacentral:rRNA from 1 species
CUCAGUGAAAUUGAAAUCGCUGUGAAGAUGCAGUGUACCCGCGGCUAGACGGAAAGACCCCGUGAACCUUUACUACAGCUUGGCACUGAACAUUGAACCUACAUGUGUAGGAUAGGUGGGAGACUAUGAAACCGCGUCGCUAGAUGUGGUGGAGUCGUCCUUGAAAUACCACCCUUGUAGUUUUGAUGUUCUAACGUUGGUCCCUGAAUCGGGAUUACGGACAGUGCCUGGUGGGUAGUUUGACUGGGGCGGUCUCCUCCCAAAGAGUAACGGAGGAGCACGAAGGUGGGCUAAACACGGUUGGACAUCGUGUGGUUAGUGCAAUGGCAUAAGCCCGCU